UACAGAGGUCUCAAGCGUUUGUUCGGAUUCAUUGGGGCGUAAAGGGUGCGUAGGUGGCGCGGUAAGUCGGGUGUGAAAUCUCGGAGCUUUAACUCCGAAAUUGCAUUCGAUACUGCCGUGCUUGAGGACUGGAGAGGAGACUGGAAUUCAUGGUGUAGCAGUGAAAUGCGUAGAGAUCAUGAGGAAGACCAGUGGCGAAGGCGGGUCUCUGGACAGUUCCUGACG
rnacentral:rRNA from 1 species